UACGUAGGCAGCGAGCGUUGUUCGGAGUUACUGGGCGUAAAGCGUGCGUAGGCGGUGUCUUAAGUUUGUUGUGAAAUCUCCCGGCUUAACCGGGAGGGUGCGGCGAAUACUGAGAUGCUGGAGUGCCGGAGAGGUAAGCGGAAUUCCUGGUGUAGCGGUGAAAUGCGUAGAUAUCAGGAGGAACACCUGCGGUGUAGACGGCUUACUGGACGGUAACUGACGCUGAGGAGCGAAAGCAUGGGGAGCGAACAGG
rnacentral:rRNA from 1 species